ACUUGCUGUCAAGGAAAAACAAAGAAUGGGAGACGUCUGAGAAACUGGCCAUUGACAUUCUUCUUGUGGGAAAGUGUGAAGAAUGAGAGGAAGAUUUGGCAGUUGUGUCUGGUGACAGAAUUCAUCACGCAGAUGGUUCCUACAGCAGAUCCUGAAAGAGCAGAAUAUUGGAAACAAUAAACUGAAUGUCUUAGACCAUCUUUGUUAAAUAAGAGACACCAUCGUCCUAUCAUCUACUGCAGAGACACCAUCGCCCUAUCAUCUACUGCAGAGACACGAUCACCCUAUCAUCUACUACUACAAAGACACCAUCGCCCGAUCAUCUACUGCAGAGACACCAUCGCCUUAUCAUCUGAACAUAAACUAAGGAAGAGAAGGGCCCUGGGCACAGCA